GACGAACGCUGGCGGCGUGCUUAACACAUGCAAGUCGAACGGCAAGGCCCUGCUUUUGUGGGGUGCUCGAGUGGCGAACGGGUGAGUAACACGUGAGUAACCUGCCCUUGACUUUGGGAUAACUUCACGAAACUGGGGCUACUACCGGAUAGGAGCUCCUGCUGCAUGGUGGGGGUUGGAAAGUUUCGGCUGUUGGGGAUGGACGCGCGGCUUAUCAGCUUGUUGGUGGGGUAGUGGCUUACCAAGGCUUUGACGGGUAGCCGGCCUGAGAGGGUGACCGGCGACAUGGGUACUGAGAUACGGACCAGAGGCCUACGGGAGGCAGCAGGGGGGAAUAUGACACAAUGGGCGGAAGUCUGAUGCAGAGGCGUCGCGUGUGGGAUGACGGCCUGCGGGUAGUGAACCGCUGUCGCCUGUGACGAAGCGGGAGUGACGGUAAUGGGUAAAGAAGCACCGGCUAACUACGUG
rnacentral:rRNA from 1 species